CCCUCAUUCCCUUUCCUCAGAUGCCCCAUCUCAAAGUGAGCUGGUUCAAUGCUUUUCCAAGGCAUGAGAAAAGGGCCCUGUAUUUGUUCUGCACAACGCAAGCAAAUUUAAUAACAUGCUUGCGUUGUGUUUGCUUGAAACUUGUCUCAGGAGUUUCCAUAAUUGGGAUACUCACUGUAUCCUAUUUAUGGAGACACUAUGUGUUUGCUUACAUGGAAUCUAUUGUGUGCAUAUGGGAUCCAGAGUGUGUAUAUCAGAAAUGUAGUGUGUGUGUAGGUGGUGCAGUUUCUGUUUGUAGGGGAUCUAGUGUGUAUUUGAAGAACCCAGAGUGUGUAUAGGAGAUCUAGUGAGUGUGUGUGUGUGUAUAUAGAGGAUUCAGAGUGUAUAUAGAAAUCUAGUGAGUGUAUAUAUGUAGAUGAUCCUGAGUUGGGUAAGGAAUCUAGUGUUUGGAAUUUAAUGUGUUUAGGGGUGCAGUUGCCAUGGCAAUGGUCCGGAUCUCGCGAGAGAAACCCUGUGGAGUUGCAAGUUAGAGCUCCUCUGGG